AUUGCUUCUCGGCCUUUUGGCUAAGAUCAAGUGUAGUAUCUGUUCUUAUCAGUUUAAUAAAGAUACCAAGGAAUUUGUACUGGUAGGGCAUAGUGGUGAUUAACUUAAAGAUAUGUGAUGAUGGGUGACUUUUAUUUUAUAUGUAUUUUUGCUAACCUGAAUCUUCC
rnacentral:snRNA from 1 species